GAGCAUUGCAUGCGGGAUGAAGCAGUACCGUAAGGAGCUGUGGACUGCAUGGAAGAGAGAAUGCCGGAAUGAGUAGCGAGAAUAAGGUGAGAAUCCUUAUGGCCGAAUAUCCAAGGUUUCCAGAGUAAAGCUGAUCUGCUCUGGGUAAGUCGGGGCCUAAGGCGAGGACGAGAGUCGUAGCCGAUGGACAACAGGUGGAGAUUCCUGUACUGCGGUAUGACAGAACUGUGGGGACACGUAAGGAAAGCGGAAGCCGGGAAUGGAAAGCCCGGUGCAAGCGGGGUACCAGUCACUUUGGCAAAUCCGGGUGGCAAUGGGAAGCCGUGAUGCGGAGCGAAAUAAAGUAGCGAAGUCCGUGAGCCAUGCGUCAAGAAAAGCCGCUAUUGUUUAUACCGUACCCGUACCGUAAACCGACACAGGUGGAUGAGGAGAGAAUCCUAAGGCCGGCGGAAGAAGCAUUGUCAAGGAACUCGGCAAAAUGGCCCCGUAACUUAGGGAUAAGGGGUGCCUGGGAAACCAGGCCGCAGAGAAUAGGCUCAAGCAACUGUUUAGCAAAAACACAGGUCUAUGCGAAACCGAAAGGUGAGGUAUAUGGGCUGACGCCUGCCCGGUGCUGGAAGGUUAAGAGGAGAGGUUAGCGCAAGCGAAGCUUUGAAUUUAAGCCCCAGUAAACGGCGGCCGUAACUAUAACGGUCCUAAGGUAGCGAAAUUCCUUGUCGGGUAAGUUCCGACCCGCACGAAAGGCGUAAUGAUUUGGGCACUGUCUCAACAAUGCACCCGGUGAAAUUGAAAUACCAGUGAAGAUGCUGGUUACCUGCGCCAGGACGGAAAGACCCCAUGGAGCUUUACUCCAGCUUGAUACUGGGAUUCGGUAUUGCAUGUACAGGAUAGGUGGGAGGCUAGGAGAUGGUAACGCCAGUUGCCAUGGAGCCGCUGUUGGGAUACCACCCUUGCAGUAUUGGGUUUCUAACCAGCCGCCGUGACCCGGCGGUGGGACAAUGCCAGACGGGGAGUUUGACUGGGGCGGUCGCCUCCGAAAGGGUAUCGGAGGCGCUCAAAGGUUCCCUCAGAAUGGUUGGAAACCAUUCGAAGAGUGCAAAGGCAGAAGGGAGCUUGACUGCGACACCGACGGGUGGAGCAGGUACGAAAGUAGGGCUUAGUGAUCCGGUGGUAUUAAGUGGGAAUGCCAUCGCUCAACGGAUAAAAGCUACCCUGGGGAUAACAGGCUUAUCACUCCCAAGAGUUCACAUCGACGGAGUGGUUUGGCACCUCGAUGUCGGCUCAUCGCAUCCUGGGGCUGUAGUAGGUCCCAAGGGUUGGGCUGUUCGCCCAUUAAAGCGGUACGCGAGCUGGGUUCAGAACGUCGUGAGACAGUUCGGUCCCUAUCCGGCGUGGGCGUAGGAUAUUUGAGAGGAGCUGUCCUUAGUACGAGAGGACCGGGAUGGACGGGCCGCUGGUGCAUCGGUUAGACUGCCAAGUCUACGGCCGAGUAGCCAAGCCCGGAAGGGAUAAACGCUGAAGGCAUCUAAGCGUGAAGCCCCCCUCAAGAUGAGAUAUCUCAUAACGUCAAGUUAGUAAGACCCCUUGAAGACGACGAGGUAGAUAGGGCAGAGGUGGAAGUGUGGUAACACAUGGAGCUGACUGUUACUAAUCGGGUGAGGGCUUGACCAA
rnacentral:rRNA from 1 species